GACGAACGCUGGCGGCGUGCUUAACACAUGCAAGUCGAACGGAAAGGCCCUGCUUUUGUGGGGUGCUCGAGUGGCGAACGGGUGAGUAACACGUGAGUAUCCUGCCCUUGACUUUGGGAUAACUUCAGGAAACUGGGGCUCAUACCGGAUAGGAGCUCCUGCUGCAUGGUGGGGGUUGGAAAGUUUCGGCGGUUGGGGAUGGACUCGCGGCUUAUCAGCUUGUUGGUGGGGUAGUGGCUUACCAAGGCUUUGACGGGUAGCCGGCCUGAGAGGGUGAACGGCCACAAUGGGACUGAGAUACGGCCCAGACUCCUACGGGAGGCAGCAGUGGGGAAUAUUGCACAAUGGGCGGAAGCCUGAGGCAGCAACGCCGCGUGCGGGAUGACGGCCUUCGGGUUGUAAACCGCUUUCGCCGGUGACGAAGCGUGAGUGACGGUAAUGGGUAAAGAAGCACCGGCUAACUACGUG
rnacentral:rRNA from 1 species